CCCCCUCCUUCUCCAUAUACCCCAUUGGAAUCCUCCACUUCCGGUUUGCCAGUCGGUACUUCCGCAUGGAGCCGGAGCUGCAGGAUCCGGAGCCAUAGAUCCAUCAUGAGUUUCCAUCAGCAGAGCAGAUCAUUGAGACCGGAGCCGGAGCCCAUGGGCCGAUCUUGAAAACUCUUUCAAAUAUCAACACAUUUAUUACAUUCAUUCAUCGUUAACUUGUGUUUUAAAGGAAAACUCGUCUCAUUUGUUUAUGUCUGCUACUGUCAUCAGCUGGAGCUGGAGCCACAGAGACCAGGAGCCACAGACAGGACCAGGAGCCACAGAGACCAGGAGCCACAGAGACCAGGAGCCACAGAUACCAGGAGCCACAGAGACCAGGAGCCACAGAGACCAGGAGCCACAGAGACCAGGAGCCGGAGCUGCUGCCGGGGCCACCAUGAGGUGUGACUGUUAACAUGUGUUGUUGAGGAAAACUUGUCUCAUUAAUGUUUUCCUGCAGAUGUUCCUGCAUCAUGAGCUCAUUCAUUGACAGUUUACAGAUGGUUGUAUGUUCUGCUGGGGAUUUGAACCAGCACCUCACUGCCUUGCCUCUCUGAACCAGUCCCUGGUGCAGAGUCUCCUUCACACUCAGUUAGAAAUGAAAUAAAGGCUGAAACGCGUUGUAAA